rnacentral:rRNA from 1 species
UACGUAGGGGGCAAGCGUUAUCCGGAAUUACUGAGUGUAAAGGGAGCGUAGACGGUAAUGUAAGUCUGGAGUGAAAGGCGGGGGCCCAACCCCCGGACUGCUCUGGAAACAAUGUUACUAGAGUGCAGGAGAGGUAAGCGGAAUUCCUAGUGUAGCGGUGAAAUGCGUAGAUAUUAGGAGGAACACCAGUGGCGAAGGCGGCUUACUGGACUGUAACUGACGUUGAGGCUCGAAAGCGUGGGGAGCAAACAGG